rnacentral:rRNA from 1 species
AUGAACGCUAGCGACAGGCCUAACACAUGCAAGUCGAGGGGCAGCAUGGUAUCAGCUUGCUGAUACCGAUGGCGACCGGCGCACGGGUGAGUAACGCGUAUGUAAUCUGCCUGUAACAGAGGGAUAACCCGGAGAAAUCCGGCCUAAUACCUCAUAGCACAUAUUAUUCGCAUGAGUUUUAUGUUAAAGAUUUAUCGGUGAUGGAUGGGGAUGCGUCUGAUUAGCUUGUUGGCGGGGUAACGGUCCACCAAGGCGACGAUCAGUAGGGGUUCUGAGAGGAAGGUCCCCCACAUUGGAACUGAGACACGGUCCAAACUCCUACGGGAGGCAGCAGUGAGGAAUAUUGGUCAAUGGACGAGAGUCUGAACCAGCCAAGUAGCGUGCAGGAUGACGGCCCUAUGGGUUGUAAACUGCUUUUAUAAGGGAAUAAAGUGAGUCUCGUGAGGCUUUUUGCAUGUACCUUAUGAAUAAGGACCGGCUAAUUCCGUG